GCUCAGAUGAACGCUGGCGGCAGGCCUAACACAUGCNAGUCGAGCGGCAGCACGGAAGCUUGCUUCCUGGUNGCGAGCGGCGGACGGGUGAGUAAUGCAUAGGAUCUGCCCGGUAGUGGGGGAUAACCUGGGAAACUCAGGCUAAUACCGCAUACGUCCUACGGGAGAAAGCAGGGGCUCUUCGGACCUUGCGCUAUCGGAUGAGCCUAUGUCGGAUUAGCUAGUUGGUGAGGUAAUGGCUCACCAAGGCGACGAUCCGUAGCUGGUCUGAGAGGAUGAUCAGCCACAUCGGGACUGAGACACGGCCCGAACUCCUACGGGAGGCAGCAGUGGGGAAUAUUGGACAAUGGGGGGAACCCUGAUCCAGCCAUGCCGCGUGUGUGAAGAAGGCCUUCGGGUUGUAAAGCACUUUCAGUGAGGAAGAAGGCCUCGGGCUUAAUACGUCCGAGGGAGGACAUCACUCACAGAAGAAGCACCGGCUAACUCCGUGCCAGCAGCCGCGGUAAUACGGAGGGUGCGAGCGUUAAUCGGAAUUACUGGGCGUAAAGCGCGCGUAGGUGGCGUGAUAAGCCGGUUGUGAAAGCCCCGGGCUCAACCUGGGAACGGCAUCCGGAACUGUCAUGCUAGAGUGCAGGAGAGGAAGGUAGAAUUCCCGGUGUAGCGGUGAAAUGCGUAGAGAUCGGGAGGAAUACCAGUGGCGAAGGCGGCCUUCUGGACUGACACUGACACUGAGGUGCGAAAGCGUGGGUAGCAAACAGGAUUAGAUACCCUGGUAGUCCACGCCGUAAACGAUGUCGACUAGCCGUUGGGAGCCUCGAGUUCUUAGUGGCGCAGUUAACGCGAUAAGUCGACCGCCUGGGGAGUACGGCCGCAAGGUUAAAACUCAAAUGAAUUGACGGGGGCCCGCACAAGCGGUGGAGCAUGUGGUUUAAUUCGAUGCAACGCGAAGAACCUUACCUACCCUUGACAUCUUCGGAAGCCGAGAGAGAUCUUGGUGUGCCUUCGGGAACCGAAAGACAGGUGCUGCAUGGCUGUCGUCAGCUCGUGUUGUGAAAUGUUGGGUUAAGUCCCGUAACGAGCGCAACCCCUGUCCCUAUUUGCCAGCGAUUCGGUCGGGAACUCUAGGGAGACUGCCGGUGACAAACCGGAGGAAGGUGGGGACGACGUCAAGUCAUCAUGGCCCUUACGGGUAGGGCUACACACGUGCUACAAUGGCAGGUACAAAGGGUUGCAAGACGGCGACGUGGAGCUAAUCCCAUAAAGCCUGCCUCAGUCCGGAUCGGAGUCUGCAACUCGACUCCGUGAAGUCGGAAUCGCUAGUAAUCGUGCAUCAGAAUGGCACGGUGAAUACGUUCCCGGGCCUUGUACACACCGCCCGUCACACCAUGGGAGUGGACUGCACCCAGAAGUGGUUAAGCUUAACCUUCGGGGGAGCGAUCANCCCAUCGGUGUGGUUCCAUGA
rnacentral:rRNA from 1 species